rnacentral:rRNA from 1 species
CCUACGGGUGGCAGCAGUGGGGAAUAUUGGACAAUGGGGGGAACCCUGAUCCAGCCAUGCCGCGUGUGUGAAGAAGGCCCUCGGGUUGUGAAGCACUUUCAGUGAGGAAGAACGCCUGGUGGUUAAUACCCAUCAGGAAAGACAUCACUCACAGAAGAAGCACCGGCUAACUCCGUGCCAGCAGCCGCGGUAAUACGGAGGGUGCGAGCGUUAAUCGGAAUUACUGGGCGUAAAGCGCGCGUAGGUGGCUUGAUAAGCCGGUUGUGAAAGCCCCGGGCUCAACCUGGGAACGGCAUCCGGAACUGUCAAGCUAGAGUGCAGGAGAGGAAGGUAGAAUUCCCGGUGUAGCGGUGAAAUGCGUAGAGAUCGGGAGGAAUACCAGUGGCGAAGGCGGCCUUCUGGACUGACACUGACACUGAGGUGCGAAAGCGUGGGUAGCAAACAGGAUUAGAUACCCCAGUAGUC